rnacentral:rRNA from 1 species
AUUCGCGGCCUAUCAGCUUGUUGGUGGGGUAAUGGCCUACCAAGGCUUCGACGGGUAGCCGGCCUGAGAGGGUGACCGGCCACACUGGGACUGAGACACGGCCCAGACUCCUACGGGAGGCAGCAGUGGGGAAUAUUGGACAAUGGGCGGAAGCCUGGUCCAGCAACGCCGCGUGAGGGAUGACGGCCUUCGGGUUGUAAACCUUUUUCAGUGUCGACGAAGCCUCAAUUUUUGGUUGGGGUGACGAUAGGCGCAGAAGAAGCACCGGCCAACUACGUGCCAGCAGCCGCGGUAAUACGUAGGGUGCGAGCGUUGUCCGGAAUUAUUGGGCGUAAAGGGCUCGUAGGCGGUUUGUCGCGUCGGGAGUGAAAACACGGGGCUUAACUCUGUGCUUGCUUCCGAUACGGGCAGACUAGAGGGAUGCAGGGGAGAACGGAAUUCCUGGUGUAGCGGUGGAAUGCGCAGAUAUCAGGAGGAACACCGGUGGCGAAGGCGGUUCUCUGGGCAUUUCCUGACGCUGAGGAGCGAAAGUGUGGGGAGCGAACAGGAUUAGAUACCCUGGUAGUCCACACCGUAAACGUUGGGCGCUAGGUGUGGGAUCCAUUCCACGGGUUCCGUGCCGCAGCUAACGCAUUAAGCGCCCCGCCUGGGGAGUACGGAAU